UCGAGCGAACCGACGGGAGCUUGCUCCCUUAGGUUAGCGGCGGACGGGUGAGUAACACGUGGGUAACCUGCCUGUAAGACUGGGAUAACUCCGGGAAACCGGGGCUAAUACCGGAUGCUUGAUUGAACCGCAUGGUUCAAUUAUAAAAGGUGGCUUUUAGCUACCACUUACAGAUGGACCCGCGGCGCAUUAGCUAGUUGGUGAGGUAACGGCUCACCAAGGCGACGAUGCGUAGCCGACCUGAGAGGGUGAUCGGCCACACUGGGACUGAGACACGGCCCAGACUCCUACGGGAGGCAGCAGUAGGGAAUCUUCCGCAAUGGACGAAAGUCUGACGGAGCAACGCCGCGUGAGUGAUGAAGGUUUUCGGAUCGUAAAACUCUGUUGUUAGGGAAGAACAAGUACCGUUCGAACAGGGCGGUAGCCUUGACGGUACCUAACCAGAAAGCCACGGCUAACUACGUGCCAGCAGCCGCGGUAAUACGUAGGUGGCAAGCGUUGUCCGGAAUUAUUGGGCGUAAAGCGCGCGCAGGCGGUUUCUUAAGUCUGAUGUGAAAGCCCCCGGCUCAACCGGGGAGGGUCAUUGGAAACUGGGGAACUUGAGUGCAGAAGAGGAGAGUGGAAUUCCACGUGUAGCGGUGAAAUGCGUAGAGAUGUGGAGGAACACCAGUGGCGAAGGCGACUCUCUGGUCUGUAACUGACGCUGAGGCGCGAAAGCGUGGGGAGCGAACAGGAUUAGAUACCCUGGUAGUCCACGCCGUAAACGAUGAGUGCUAAGUGUUAGAGGGUUUCCGCCCUUUAGUGCUGCAGCAAACGCAUUAAGCACUCCGCCUGGGGAGUACGGUCGCAAGACUGAAACUCAAAGGAAUUGACGGGGGCCCGCACAAGCGGUGGAGCAUGUGGUUUAAUUCGAAGCAACGCGAAGAACCUUACCAGGUCUUGACAUCCUCUGACACCCCUAGAGAUAGGGCUUCCCCUUCGGGGGCAGAGUGACAGGUGGUGCAUGGUUGUCGUCAGCUCGUGUCGUGAGAUGUUGGGUUAAGUCCCGCAACGAGCGCAACCCUUGAUCUUAGUUGCCAGCAUUCAGUUGGGCACUCUAAGGUGACUGCCGGUGACAAACCGGAGGAAGGUGGGGAUGACGUCAAAUCAUCAUGCCCCUUAUGACCUGGGCUACACACGUGCUACAAUGGGCAGAACAAAGGGCAGCGAAGCCGCGAGGCUAAGCCAAUCCCACAAAUCUG
rnacentral:rRNA from 1 species